CUCUAAGGAGACUGCCGGUGACAAACCGGAGGAAGGUGGGGAUGACGUCAAGUCCUCAUGGCCCUUAUGGGUAGGGCUUCACACGUCAUACAAUGGUCGGAACAGAGGGUUGCCAACCCGCGAGGGGGAGCUAAUCCCAGAAAACCGAUCGUAGUCCGGAUUGCACUCUGCAACUCGAGUGCAUGAAGCUGGAAUCGCUAGUAAUCGCGGAUCAGCAUGCCGCGGUGAAUACGUUCCCGGGUCUUGUACACACCGCCCGUCACACCAUGGGAGUGGGUUUUACCAGAAGUGGCUAGUCUAACCGCAAGGAGGACGGUCACCACGGUAGGAUUCAUGACUGGGGUGAAGUCGUAACAAGGUAGCCGUAUCGGAAGGUGCGGCUGGAUCACCUCCUUUC
rnacentral:rRNA from 1 species